AUUGAACGCUGGCGGCAUGCCUUACACAUGCAAGUCGAACGGUAACAGGUCUUCGGAUGCUGACGAGUGGCGAACGGGUGAGUAAUACAUCGGAACGUGCCUAGUAGUGGGGGAUAACUACUCGAAAGAGUGGCUAAUACCGCAUGAGAUCUACGGAUGAAAGCAGGGGAUCGCAAGACCUUGUGCUACUAGAGCGGCCGAUGGCAGAUUAGGUAGUUGGUGGGAUAAAAGCUUACCAAGCCGACGAUCUGUAGCUGGUCUGAGAGGACGAUCAGCCAAACUGGGACUGAGACACGGCCCAGACUCCUACGGGAGGCAGCAGUGGGGAAUUUUAGACAAUGGGCGCAAGCCUGAUCCAGCAAUGCCGCGUGCAGGAUGAAGGCCUUCGGGUUGUAAACUGCUUUUGUACGGAACGAAAAGCCCUGGGUUAAUACCCUGGGGUCAUGACGGUACCGUAAGAAUAAGCACCGGCUAACUACGUGCCAGCCGCCGCGGUAACAC
rnacentral:rRNA from 1 species